GGAGUUGCACAUUGCCGUGGACUCACUCACAUGUGCACACUUUAAAACUUGACUGCACUGUCUCUUUUAAUACACAUCUAUGCCUGGUGAGCUUUAAUAGUCAGCAUUUUUCUAGGAACACACCUAAAACUCUGUGGAUAAAGCUAUGGCUCUACUCUUAUAUCGUUUUAUUGUCCUCUGUAUGUCUGUAUCGCUUGUUGCAGGUGAUGGUGCUAAACCAACACAGACGCCAGACAACGGGCUCACAAUGUUAGCCUUUGGUGUGAUGAGCUUCAUUCUCAUUUUGAUCAUUGUUAUGGUGAUCUUGGUAACAGCUGUUAACUUCAGAGGACAGUGCGCUAAUACAAAGGAAGAGGGUGUCAAAAACUACGUCUCUGUGAUAUCAGAAGGUCAUAUAAGCAACAUGGGAGAGAAGGAAAGCAUCAUGCUUGUCUCCAUGAGGACAAUAAACACAGACACUGACACAGAUUCACUGCGGAUCUCCUCCAUUUACAGUGCAGCACUGGACAACGAAGACCAAUAGCUCAGAAUCAGAGUAGGACUGAUUCAAUUCACUGAACAAAGCUGCCUUUUCAAGCUACUUUUCAGCAAUAACAGACCACAGUAUUAUUAAAAUGACACAGUUCUACAUUGUUGUACAAUUUGUCUCACAUUUGCAAUUUUUUUAUGCAAAAUUAAAUGAGCACAAAGAAUAAGCUAAUGAACGG
ensembl:lncRNA